UACGAAGGGGGCUAGCGUUGUUCGGAAUUACUGGGCGUAAAGCGCACGUAGGCGGAUAUUUAAGUCAGGGGUGAAAUCCCGGGGCUCAACCCCGGAACUGCCUUUGAUACUGGGUAUCUCGAGUCCGAGAGAGGUGAGUGGAAUUCCGAGUGUAGAGGUGAAAUUCGUAGAUAUUCGCAAGAACACCAGUGGCGAAGGCGGCUCACUGGCCCGGUACUGACGCUGAGGUGCGAAAGCGUGGGGAGCGAACAGG
rnacentral:rRNA from 1 species